UACGUAGGGUGCAAGCGUUAAUCGGAAUUACUGGGCGUAAAGCGUGCGCAGGCGGUUUGUUAAGACGGAUGUGAAAUCCCCGGGCUCAACCUGGGAACUGCAUUCGUGACUGGCAAGCUAGAGUAUGGCAGAGGGGGGUGGAAUUCCACGUGUAGCAGUGAAAUGCGUAGAGAUCCGGAGGAACACCGACGGCGCAGGCAGCGUCCUGGCCGCUUGCUGACACUGAGGCACGAAAGCUGGGGGAGCAAACAGG
rnacentral:rRNA from 1 species